GGGAAACUAAUACUAAUUCCGCAUAAUGUCUGCGAGCCAAAGGUGGCAUGGCCUCUCGCGUUUAGAGCGGCCCAAAUGGGAUUAGCUAGUUGGUGAGGUAAUGGCUCACCAAGGCGACGAUCCCUAGCUGGUUUGAGAGGAUGAUCAGCCACACUGGGACUGAGACACGGCCCAGACUCCUACGGGAGGCAGCAGUGGGGAAUAUUGCACAAUGGGCGCAAGCCUGAUCCAGCCAUGCCGCGUGCAUGAAGAAGGCCUUCGGGUUGUAAAGCGCUUUCGUUCAGGAGGAAAGGUUAGUAGUUAAUACGUGCUAGUCAUGACGGUACCGACAGAAUAAGCACCGGCUAACUCCGUGCCAGCAGCCGCGGUAAUACGGAGGGUGCGAGCGUUAAUCGGAAUUACUGGGCGUAAAGCGUACGCAGGCGGUUAGUUAAGUCAGAUGUGAAAUCCCCGGGCUCAACCUGGGAACUGCAUUUGGAACUGCCAAACUAGAGUGUGACAGAGGGGGGUAGAAUUUCAGGUGUAGCGGUGAAAUGCGUAGAUAUGUGGAGGAACACCGAUGGCGAAGGCAGCCACCUGGGUCAACACUGACGCUCAG
rnacentral:rRNA from 1 species